GCACCAUUUUCGCCGCAUCGGCGACGACAAGAGGCCAUUCUCGAAGAAGCACUCGGCGGGACACGCACAAGCGGAACCGCCGGCAUCGCUCCUUCGUUUCCCCCAAAGCGCUGCAGGGAGUCUGGGCGCAAGUUUCUUCGAAUUCCCAAAGACGACAGGCCUUUUUUUUAGAAACGCGUGGUGAAGAUACCGGAAUUCACAUCGUGGUGCACCUAAAUAACACUGCCUCAAUGCUUCCAAGCAACUUGGAGACACCAACAAAACCACCCUGAGGAUGAGCGUCUGAAGAUUCGCACCACACGUGUCCGGGGAGGCGUCCAACCACACCCAUGUGUAAGUGGAAGUAAUGUGGCGUCACCAACUGCCGCUUCGAACAGCGCGAACGCGAACUCCUGUCGAGGUGCCG